UACGUAGGCAGCGAGCGUUUGUUCGGAGUUACUGGGCGUAAAGGGUGUGUAGGCGGUUCUUUAAGCUUGGUGUGAAAUCUCCCGGCUCAACCGGGAGGGUGCGCCGAAUACUGAGGGACUAGAGUAUGGGAUGGGAAAGUGGAAUUCCUGGUGUAGCGGUGAAAUGCGUAGAUAUCAGGAGGAACACCUGUGGUGUAGACGGCUUUCUGGACCAUAACUGACGCUGAGACACGAAAAGCGUGGGUAGCAAACAGG
rnacentral:rRNA from 1 species